rnacentral:rRNA from 1 species
AUUGAACGCUGGCGGCAGGCCUAACACAUGCAAGUCGAGCGGAUGAAGGGAGCUUGCUCCUGGAUUCAGCGGCGGACGGGUGAGUAAUGCCUAGGAAUCUGCCUGGUAGUGGGGGAUAACGUCCGGACACGGGCGCUAAUACCGCAUACGUCCUGAGGUAGAAAGUGGGGGAUCUUCGGACCUCACGCUAUCAGAUGAGCCUAGGUCGGAUUAGCUAGUUGGUGGGGUAAAGGCCUACCAAGGCGACGAUCCGUAACUGGUCUGAGAGGAUGAUCAGUCACACUGGAACUGAGACACGGUCCAGACUCCUACGGGAGGCAGCAGUGGGGAAUAUUGGACAAUGGGCGAAAGCCUGAUCCAGCCAUGCCGCGUGUGUGAAGAAGGUCUUCGGAUUGUAAAGCACUUUAAGUUGGGAGGAAGGGCAGUAAGUUAAUACCUUGAUGUUUUGACGUUACCAACAGAAUAAGCACCGGCUAACUUCGUG